GAGCGCGGAUCAGCGCGGCGAGUCCGUGGGACCCAGGCGGGGCAGUGCCGAGAAAGGGGGCUCGGUGGGGCUGCCGUGCUCGCGAAGGAGGAGGCGGAGCUCAGCCCCCGGCCGGAGCCGCUCCCCUGCUCCUCCUACUCUUUCCUAAUGGUACCGAGGAUGGUGUCUCUGAGCGCGUGUAGAGUGCCGCCGCUGCUCACCUCGAACAUAAACUGGAGGGCUUCUAUUACUGUUAGAACUGCAAAACAAAGGUCCAGCAGUUCACACUGUUUCUGUCAUGCGUAUUCAGUGAUGGGGAAAGCUUCGCUGGAAUGAAUUCCUGCUUGUCACACAACUGUUCAAGCAACAGGAGCCUUGCCUGGAAAAAAAACCCAUGCACAUAUCUGGCUCCCAGAUUACAAAAGGAGACUUCCAGGCAGGCUUGGACCUUGGCCUUUCAUUUCAAGAUCUAUGCUCCGGCUGACUCACAGAUUUUUCACACAUGAUUUUCCAGGAGCUUUUCCAGACGAGUGACUCUACUGCAGCAGGAAGUGUCUAAAG